ACUUAAUUAAUAAAAAUAAAAUAACAACAUGAAAAUGAAUGCAUUGUUCUUUGUUUACGCGUGUUUUGGAACGCGCCGAAUGAACCGAACGAACCAAGAAUGAGUUCGAUUGAGGGAGAUGGGACAUACUGGCCAGUCGCUCCUAGGCUGAUGCGAGCGUGUUACCUCUGACCACUUUCCGUCCUGUCAAGCGUCCUAGCAGACACGGCCGUUAAAUUCAAAUUAAAAAAAAAAUAAGUUGAGAGUGUUCAAGUUGAAUACUUGCACUUAAUAUUGUCGUGAAGAUCCCGAAUUAGGGUUUUUUCUUCCGGCUUUAAGGAGCCAGCAGCAUCCUCGCGUUCGGGCCUGCCUACCAACCGAGGUCAUCCGAGGAGCCCGCUUCCGGCAACACCAGUCGCACGUGCGCGCCAUCUCCAUCACCGGUGAAGUCACCGUACAGCUCAGCACUGAACCUCGGCCUACUUCCAUCUCCGGCCAGCGGCGGAAUCCCGCCACAACUACAGGGGGUACCUAUCCCUGCAGAGGUGACUACAGACAAAGUUGUAAUCCACGACCCAUAAAUCUUCGUGUGCCUCCGGCUGUGUUUUUUUUUUAUAUAAUAUAAAUUUUGAAGGUA